CGAAAAAGACCGACCGUGUCAUUACUAACCUCGAUGAAGAACAUCGUCUACAAGGAAGUCCUUACAGGCUGAAGUCCGGUCUUAAUAGACCGGCAGGUUAUGUAAUGACACAACAUUUACUCUUGUGAUGGUCAAGAUUUAUUGUAAUUCGUUUUUUUACAUAUAUCUUUUUUAUUUGGUAUUUUGAUAGUUGGAGGUAUACUCCAUUUAGUUGAGCUACUAACUGCAUUUCAAUAAUCAGCCGUCAUGUUGGCACCAUCAUCGCUGUUAUAUCUUUUCUACUAUCGCAAUGUUUCUGGCAGUGUACAUGUCACCCACCGUAGUAUUUCAUGUGUAAUAUGUGAUUCAGAUAUAAUGAUUGGCUUGAAAAAUACCUGGAACAUGCAAUGAAACUUUUGUGUUACGGCAAGUGAUCAUAUCCAUUGUUAUUAUUUUGAUAUUUUGAUAAUAUGGUUGAAUGUAAAUUUAUUGGCGUCCUUAUUAUCCCUGUAUUAUUCUGAUAGGUCAGAAGUAUAGGAUUAUGAUUGGUCUGAAUUAUAAGACCAACACACGCAGAAGGGAAGUUUGUGUAGCUUUUCAAGAUAUAUUUUGCAUAUGUACAUCUAAUAAAUAAUAAAAUGGUAGCCUGCGUACUUGCAAAUAUGUUCAAAUGCCCGUGCGACUCUGGAGAAUGUGACAAUGCACGUGUCUGAUCGCUGAAGUGUGCAAUCUUUGGAAAAAAGAUUGAUUACUUGUACUUUCACGCGUCUGAACUAAUUAUUUAUCAGUUCAGUUCAAGUUUCAUUUUUAUUUUUUGCAUUGGUUCAUGUACCUUCAUGAGUUUACUGCGGAUCUGAAAGAGUUCUAACCUAAAAAAUUGUACAAGGCUGCAUUAAUCUAGGACCUGGCGAGGAUUGGUUCAGAGAGCAAGCAUCGUUCUGCAGUAUCUUAAGGACGCUGGUUGGGCUGAGGGUGGUCGACUUAUAGGUUGCACCCAGCCAAGACGAUUGGCUGUGCAGAUAUCCAUGAAGCCAGCCUCAUGACACUUGACGAAACACGUGCGUACGUCAAUGGUGUUGUUCAAGCUAGGAACAAUGGAGGCUAGAAGUAUCUGUGUACACAAGUGCACAAUUUGUCUUAGAUAUAAAAAUGUAUGAACACUUUGCAUGCAACAUUUUGUUGCCAAUUGUCACAUUAUGAAGUGUUCGCUUAUGUCUUGGAGGUUUAAUAAUAUGUGAUAUUCAAUAAAAAAAUCUAUUUAACAGUGUCGUCA